CUCUUGCCAAAAGUGUCUCCGUCGAAUCUCCUCAUUUUUUGUGCUGAAAAUUCUAUUUAUAGUCCCUCUCAUUUAGCCUUGACCUAGGAUCUCGAGCUCAGAAUAUUCCUCUUCUCUGACAUGUUCUCACUACAGCGAGAUUGGAAGUUCACUGCAGCGAUCUAAAGCUGAUCUAGCAUGGUGUUGCAAUUUCCUCAUUUUCGCUGUAGCUAGAUUGGAUUCUUGCUGCAGCGAAAAUCCUUCUGUUUCUUUGUGCUCUGUUCUCGCAGCAGGGAGAUUGGGUUCUCGCUGCAGCGAGAAACUCUCUGCUUGGACAAUUUGUUGCUGCAACUUUGAUCCUUCUACCACCAUGCUCUCCUCUUUUGAGCCACCAAAUGCAGAGUUGAUGAGGUCCAUUCUUCAGCUUCACUUUCAGCCACCAUUCCUUCAAAAUCAAAGAAAAGUUGAAUGAUCAAAGGUUACAUUGAAGGGAGUUUUGAUAACACAAAUGAAGAUUAAAUUGCCUUCAUGACGCUAAACAUCCUAAAAAUUAACUCCUAUUAAAAAGUAUGAAAAUUUGAUAAGAACUAUGCUGAAAAUUAAAAGAAUAAGUACAAUUCAUGCUCUACAAAAUUGUAUGAUAACUCUAUGUAAUAGAGUUAUCACACCCCCAAACUUACUCUUUUGCUAGUCCUCGAGCAAAACUUAAAUUAAU
rnacentral:lncRNA from 1 species